UGAGGCACUGGUAAGUCAUUGAACAGUUAAUAAAAGGUUUACUUUUUCCUAACACAGCAAGCAUCUGCACCAAGGAUACAGUCAUACUUCACAUCUCCGAAUGCAUCCCCUCAUAUGGAAAUCCAUCUGUUCAUCAGGGAAGGAUACGGUGAAAGACAUGGAGAUUUGUGUGAUCUUCAGAAAUCUACUAAUUCAGAGGGGCCUGACUGCACAUGAGUGAGAUUCUUCUGCCCUUAGGCUUUCUCCUGUGGGAUCAAAUCAAAAUAGUCCUGUUCGCAUCAAAACCUCAUUCUCUGGAUCAUUUUAAGACCAGGAUAACGAAUACAAUCUCUUCAGUUACCAAGUAGCAACUGAGGAAAGUUUCUUACCAAAUUAAAAAAUCAACUGAAGCAAUGUAUAGCACAAGAUGGUGGUUAUGUUGAAUUUUAAUAAGAACUUUAUCAAUAUUUCAAGGUUUUAAAUAAUUAACCU
rnacentral:lncRNA from 1 species